UGAAUAUACCGGUUCUCGUUUCACCGAAGUCAAGCAUCAUUGGGCGCGGUCAGUACUUGGGUGGGUGACCACCUGGGAACACUGCGUGCCGUU
rnacentral:rRNA from 1 species